rnacentral:rRNA from 1 species
UAGUCCACGCCGUAAACGAUGAGUACUAGCUAUUGGGGGUAUUGACUCCCUCAGUGGCGCAGCUAACGCAUUAAGUACUCCGCCUGGGAAGUACGGUCGCAAGACUAAAACUCAAAGGAAUUGACGGGGGCCCGCACAAGCGGUGGAUUAUGUGGUUUAAUUCGAAGCAACGCGCAGAACCUUACCUAGGCUUGAAAUCCCUCGAAUCCCGAGUAAUUUUGGGAGUGCCCGCAAGGGAAUGAGGUGACAGGUGCUGCAUGGCUGUCGUCAGCUCGUGUUGUGAAAUGUUGGGUUAAGUCUCGCAACGAGCGCAACCCCUAUCUUUAGUUGCCAGCAUUAAGUUGGGCACUCUAGAGAGACUGCCCGGGUUAACCGGGAGGAAGGUGGGGAUGACGUCAAGUCCGCAUGCCCCUUAUGCUCUGGGCUACACACGUGCUACAAUGGCCGUGACAAAGAGUUGCUAUUUUGUGAAAACAAGCUAAUCUCAUAAACGCGGCCUCAGUUCGGAUUGCG